UCUCAUAACACUAUUAUAAUACUUAGAUAUUAACGCCACAAAGGCAAAGGAAAUGAGUCACCACCCAAGUAAUAAUCGGGACAAAUUCGUAAGAAGGGAUGUGGGUGGUAACUUACCCCUUACAGAGGUCUACUACCCUUCUUUUACCAUAAGCCCAAUAGCCUAGAUUCGGGAUAGUGCGUACGAGAGAAGGAAGGUGUUAG
rnacentral:misc_RNA from 1 species